AGAGUUUGAUCCUGGCUCAGAUUGAACGCUGGCGGCAGGCCUAACACAUGCAAGUCGAGCGGUAGCACAGAGAGCUUGCUCUCGGGUGACGAGCGGCGGACGGGUGAGUAAUGUCUGGGAAACUGCCUGAUGGAGGGGGAUAACUACUGGAAACGGUAGCUAAUACCGCAUAAUGUCGCAAGACCAAAGUGGGGGACCUUCGGGCCUCAUGCCAUCAGAUGUGCCCAGAUGGGAUUAGCUAGUAGGUGGGGUAACGGCUCACCUAGGCGACGAUCCCUAGCUGGUCUGAGAGGAUGACCAGCCACACUGGAACUGAGACACGGUCCAGACUCCUACGGGAGGCAGCAGUGGGGAAUAUUGCACAAUGGGCGCAAGCCUGAUGCAGCCAUGCCGCGUGUGUGAAGAAGGCCUUCGGGUUGUAAAGCACUUUCAGCGGGGAGGAAGGCGUUAAGGUUAAUAACCUUGGCGAUUGACGUUACCCGCAGAAGAAGCACCGGCUAACUCCGUGCCAGCAGCCGCGGUAAUACGGAGGGUGCAGGCGUUAAUCGGAAUUACUGGGCGUAAAGCGCACGCAGGCGGUCUGUCAAGUCGGAUGUGAAAUCCCCGGGCUCAACCUGGGAACUGCAUUCGAAACUGGCAGGCUAGAGUCUUGUAGAGGGGGGUAGAAUUCCAGGUGUAGCGGUGAAAUGCGUAGAGAUCUGGAGGAAUACCGGUGGCGAAGGCGGCCUCCUGGACAAAGACUGACGCUCAGGUGCGAAAGCGUGGGAGCAAACAGGAUUAGAUACCCUGGUAGUCCACGCCGUAAACGAUGUCGAUUUGGAGGUUGUGCCCUUGAGGCGUGGCUUCCGGAGCUAACGCGUUAAAUCGACCGCCUGGGGAGUACGGCCGCAAGGUUAAAACUCAAAUGAAUUGACGGGGGCCCGCACAAGCGGUGGAGCAUGUGGUUUAAUUCGAUGCAACGCGAAGAACCUUACCUGGUCUUGACAUCCACAGAACUUUCCAGAGAUGGAUUGGUGCCUUCGGGAACUGUGAGACAGGUGCUGCAUGGCUGUCGUCAGCUCGUGUUGUGAAAUGUUGGGUUAAGUCCCGCAACGAGCGCAACCCUUAUCCUUUGUUGCCAGCGGUCCGGCCGGGAACUCAAAGGAGACUGCCAGUGAUAAACUGGAGGAAGGCGGGGAUGACGUCAAGUCAUCAUGGCCCUUACGACCAGGGCUACACAC
rnacentral:rRNA from 1 species